rnacentral:rRNA from 1 species
AGCUCGUAGGCGGCUUGUCACGUCGGGUGUGAAAGCCCGGGGCUUAACCCCGGGUCUGCAUUCGAUACGGGCUAGCUAGAGUGUGGUAGGGGAGAUCGGAAUUCCUGGUGUAGCGGUGAAAUGCGCAGAUAUCAGGAGGAACACCGGUGGCGAAGGCGGAUCUCUGGGCCAUUACUGACGCUGAGGAGCGAAAGCGUGGGGAGCGAACAGGAUUAGAUACCCUGGUAGUCCACGCCGUAAACGGUGGGAACUAGGUGUUGGCGACAUUCCACGUCGUCGGUGCCGCAGCUAACGCAUUAAGUUCCCCGCCUGGGGAGUACGGCCGCAAGGCUAAAACUCAAAGGAAUUGA